CCGCCUGUCUCGGCCUCCCAAAGUGCUGAGAUUACAGACGUGAGCCACCGAUCCGGGCCCUUGCACAUAUUUUCUUAUGAACACACAGGUAGCAGCACUCUGAUUACAGUAACUUACAUGGAAGUUAUUUUAAAAUGACUUUCCCCUUCUCUUCCUCAUGUAGGCUGUAUAUUUCAUCUGCAGCACGCUUUCUCCCAAGAAUCUCAAGCACACACAGGAAACCAGAGAAUAAAAUCACUGAGGCUUGAACAUAUCCAGAGACCAAGGGCGUCACUGGCAGAAAAGCUUUUAGGCGGAUCCCCAGGCCCAAGAGCCACCCCGCCCAGAGACGUGGCUUCCUAGGAGCAGUUCACACGCGGCUGUGCAGCACCCACAAGCGGGGCCAGGGGCUGGUUUUCAUAGUUCACAGUCUGCAGGGAUCUUAGCAAAAAUAUGGCCGUGGUAAAAGUGCCUCGACCAGAUUCAUCAUGUUACUAGGCUGGGAUAAUAAAAAGGACUGUUGAACUUCACAUCUGCCAUCUGUAACACAUUCUUAAUGAAGCAAUCUUGCAUCGGGGGAUUUAUCAACUCUGCCAAAUUUCCUAAAAUUACCAAAUGGAGAAAAAAGAGCUGGUCCCGCCUCACCAGGCACAACCAGUUUGGAACCAAAACUGCAGUGUCCCCAAGACAUGCCUGUAGGUACACAAGUCCAUACUGAUAAAUGACUGAAUAAACAGGAGAGAAGCAAAUCUUCAAGAAGAAUAACAUGCACAGAUACUGCUCUCUCCCGGGGUUGGAGCUUAUUUAUUUAUUUAUUUAUUUUGAGACGGAGUCUGGCUCUGUCUCCCAGGCUGGAGUGCAGUGGCCGGAUCUCAGCUCACUGCAAGCUCC